AUGGACAAGAUUCUGAAAGCAUCAUUUUUGGUCCUAGCCUUUCACCUAGCCUGGGUGAGUGGCCAACAGCCGGACAGACAUGACCAACAGCAGGUGAGACAAAGUCCCCAAUCUCUGACAGUCUCGGCAGGAGGGACUUCAGUUUUGAACUGCACUUAUGAGAACAGUGCAUUUGACUACUUCCCGUGGUACCGGCAGUUCCCUGGUGAAGGUCCUACACUGCUGAUAGCUAUACGUUCUGGGUUGAAUAAAAAGGAAGAUGGAAGAUUCACAGUCUUCUUCAGUGAAGGCACGAAACAGCUCUCCUUGCACAUCACAGAUUCUCAGCCUGGAGACUCAGCCAAGUCUUUCCAAAUGUUAUAG